rnacentral:rRNA from 1 species
AUCGGGGUCGAUUUAGCCAUGCUAGUUGCGCGAGUUCAGACUCGCAGCAGAUAGCUCAGUAACACGUGGUCAAGCUACCCUGCAGACACGGACAACCUCGGGAAACUGAGGCUAAUCCGCGAUACCGAUCCCACGCUGGAAUGCCGGGAUCCACAAACGCUCCGGCGCUGCAGGAUGCGGCUGCGGCCGAUUAGGUAGACGGUGGGGUAACGGCCCACCGUGCCGAUAAUCGGUACGGGUUGUGAGAGCAAGAGCCCGGAGACGGAAUCUGAGACAAGAUUCCGGGCCCUACGGGGCGCAGCAGGCGCGAAACCUUUACACUGCACGCAAGUGCGAUAAGGGGACUCCGAGUGCGAGGGCAUAUAGUCCUCGCUUUUGAGAACCGUAAGGUGGUUCUCGAAUAAGAGCUGGGCAAGACCGGUGCCAGCCGCCGCGGUAAUACCGGCAGCUCAAGUGAUGGCCAAUCUUAUUGGGCCUAAAGCGUCCGUAGCUGGCCGUGAAAGUUCGUCGGGAAAUCCAUCCGCUCAACGGAUGGGCGUCCGGCGAAAACUUCACGGCUUGGGACCGGAAGGCUCGAGGGGUACGUCCGGGGUAGGAGUGAAAUCCUGUAAUCCUGGACGGACCGCCGAUGGCGAUAGCA